AGAGUUUGAUCCUGGCUCAGGAUGAACGCUGGCGGCGUGCCUAAUACAUGCAAGUCGAACGUGAUCCUUGGAGCAAUCUGAGGUGAAAGUGGCGGACGGGUGAGUAACACAUGGCUGACCUGCCCUUCAGAGGGGGACAACAGCUGGAAACGGCUGCUAAUACCCCAUACGCUCGCGCGGUUCAGAAGCGCGUGAGGAAAGCCUACGGGUGCUGAAGGAGGGGGCUGUGGCCCAUCAGCUAGUUGGUGAGGUAACGGCUCACCAAGGCGAGGACGGGUAGGGGGCCUGAGAGGGUGACCCCCCACACGGGAACUGAGAGACGGUCCCGACUCCUACGGGAGGCAGCAGUAAGGGAUAUUGCGACAAUGGGCGAAAGCCUGACGCAGCAACGCCGCGUGGAGGAUGACGGCCUUCGGGUCGUAAACUCCUUUUACCGGGGAAGAGGAAGGACGGUACCCGGUGAAGAAGUCUCGGCUAACUACGUGCCAGCAGCCGCGGUAAAACGUAGGAGGCGAGCGUUAUCCGGAUUUACUGGGUGUAAAGCGCGAGCAGGCGGCCUGGUAAGUGGUGUGUGAAAGCGCUCUGGCUCAACCGGGCGAGGACAUGCCAGACUGCCGGGCUGGAGGUAGGUAGAGGCGAGUGGAAUUCCGGGUGUAGUGGUGAAAUGCGUAGAGAUCCGGAGGAACACCAGUGGCGAAGGCGACUCGCUGGGCCUGACCUGACGCUCAGACGCGAAAGCAUGGGGAGCGAACGGGGAUUAGAAACCCCGGUAGUCCAUGCUGUAAACGAUGUGGACUAGG
rnacentral:rRNA from 1 species